rnacentral:rRNA from 1 species
CGGUGGUUAAGGAACUCUGCAAAAUGGCCCCGUAACUUCGGGAUAAGGGGCGCCUCCAAUAGUUUACUAUUGAGGCCACAGUAAAUCGGAUUCAGCGACUGUUUAUCAAAAACACAGGACUCUGCCAACUCGCAAGGGGAUGUAUAGAGUCUGACGCCUGCCCGGUGUCGGUAGGUUAAGGAAGAAGGUUAGCCUCACGGCGAAGCUUGCGACCGAAGCCCCGAUAAACGGCGGCCGUAACUAUGACGGUCCUAAGGUAGCGAAGUUCCUUGUCGGGUAAGUUCCGACGUGCAUAAUGGCGUAACGACUGGAUCACUGUCUCAACCACCGACCCGGUGAAAUUGUAGCCGUGGUGAAGAUGCCACGUUCCCGCAGUUAGACGGAAAGACCCCGUGAACCUUUACUGUAGGCUGAUAUUGGGCUGAGGUAUGCUCUGUGUAGGAUAGGUGGGAGGCUAUGAUCUGGGCGCGCCAGCGUUCAGGGAGCCACCGUUGAAAUACCACCCUGAGAAUGCUUUAGUUCUAACCCCGAGUCCGUGGAACCGGACUGGGGACAGUGUCAGUUGGGCAGUUUGACUGGGGCGGUCUCCUCCAAAAUAGUAACGGAGGAGUACAAAGGUACCCUCAGCCUGGUUGGCAAUCAGGCGUAGAGCGCAUAGGUAUAAGGGUGCUUGACUGCGAGACUUAUCAGUCGAGCAGGCACGAAAGUGGGUCUAAGUGAUCCGGUGGUCCCGUAUGGAAGGGCCAUCGCUCAUCAGAUAAAAGGUACUCCGGGGAUAACAGGCUUAUCGCCUCCGAGCGUCCAUAGCGGCGAGGCGGUUUGGCACCUCGAUGUCGGCUCAUCACAUCCUGGGGGUGAAGAAGCUCCCAAGGGUUUGGCUGUUCGCCAAUGAAAGUGGUACGUGAGCUGGGUUCAGACCGUCGUGUGACGUCGGUCCCUAUCUGCUGUGGGCGCACGAAACUUGCGGAGGUUCUUCAUUAGUACGAGAGGAUUUUGAAGGACGGAGCUCUGGUGUUCCAGUUAUCGCGCUAGCGGUACGGCUGGAUAGCUAACUCCGGAAAGGAUAAACGCUGAAAGCAUCUAAGCGUGAAGCCCUCUCCAAGAUCAGGUUUCGUUGAGUCAAAUCGAAAGCCCCCUGGUAGACCACCAGGAUGAUAGGCCGGAUGUGUACGCGUAGAAAUACGUUCAGCUAACCGGUACUAAAGGGCGAAAGCUUGGCCAC